rnacentral:rRNA from 1 species
UACGAGAGGCCCAAGCGUUAUUCGGAAUUACUGGGCUUAAAGAGUUCGUAGGCGGCGCAGCAAGUCGGGUGUGAAAGCCCUCGGCUCAACCGAGGAAUUGCGCCCUAAACUACUGUGCUCGAGGGACCUAGAGGUGAGCAGAACAGAUGGUGGAGCGGUGAAAUGCGUUGAUAUCAUCUGGAAUACCGGAGGCGAAGGCGGCUCACUGGGGGUCUUCUGACGCUGAGGAACGAAAGCCAGGGGAGCGAACGGG